GUUGUAUGGUUAAGUGACUAAGCGUACACGGUGGAUGCCUGGGCAGUCAGAGGCGAUGAAGGACGUACUAACUUGCGAUAAGCGCAGAUAAGGCAGUAAGAGCCGUUUGAGUCUGCGAUUUCCGAAUGGGGAAACCCAACUGCAUAAGCAGUUACUGUUAACUGAAUACAUAGGUUAACAGAGCAAACCGGGGGAACUGAAACAUCUAAGUACCCCGAGGAGAAGAAAUCAACCGAGAUUCCGGUAGUAGCGGCGAGCGAACCUGGAUUAGCCCUUAAGCACUCGGUGAAGUAGGUGAACAAGCUGGAAAGCUUGGCGAUACAGGGUGAUAGCCCCGUAACCGACGCUUCAUCGAGCGUGAAAUCGAGUAGGGCGGGACACGUGAUAUCCUGUCUGAAUAUGGGGGGACCAUCCUCCAAGGCUAAAUACUCCUGACUGACCGAUAGUGAACCAGUACCGUGAGGGAAAGGCGAAAAGAACCCCUGUGAGGGGAGUGAAAUAGAACCUGAAACCGUGUACGUACAAGCAGUAGGAGCACCUUCGUGGUGUGACUGCGUACCUUUUGUAUAAUGGGUCAGCGACUUAUAUUCAGUGGCAAGGUUAACCGUAUAGGGGAGCCGUAGCGAAAGCGAGUCUUAACUGGGCGCUCAGUCUCUGGAUAUAGACCCGAAACCGGGUGAUCUAGCCAUGGGCAGGUUGAAGGUUGAGUAACAUCAACUGGAG
rnacentral:rRNA from 1 species